rnacentral:rRNA from 1 species
UACGGGAGGCAGCAGUGAGGAAUAUUGGGCAAUGCUCGAAAGAGUGACCCAGCAACGCCGCGUGGAGGAUGAAGGUAUUCUAUAUCGUAAACUCCUGUGAGAGCAGACGAAAGACAGAUUAUUAAUCUGGAUGACUGUAUGCUCAGAGGAAGCCCCGGCUAACUACGUGCCAGCAGCCGCGGUAAUA